rnacentral:rRNA from 1 species
UACGGAGGAGGCAAGCGUUAUCCGGAAUUAUUGGGCGUAAAGAGCGUGUAGGCGGCCAGACAGGUCCGUUGUGAAAACUCGAGGCUCAACCUCGAGAUGUCGAUGGAAACCGUCUGGCUAGAGUCCGGAAGAGGAGUGUGGAAUUCCUGGUGUAGCGGUGAAAUGCGCAGAUAUCAGGAAGAACACCUAUGGCGAAGGCAGCACUCUGGGACGGUACUGACGCUGAGACGCGAAAGCGUGGGGAGCGAACAGG